UUAAAAGUCAAGAUGGAGGUAAAAAGCUUAGGGGUAACUGUUGACUGUAAUCUGAAUUUUAAAUCACAUAUUAAUCAGACCACUAGGACAGCAUUUUUUCACUUAAGAAACAGCAAAAGUUAGACCUCUUAUAUCAUUGAAAGAUGCUGAGAAAUUAGUUCACGCAUUUGUUUUCAGUCGACUAGAUUACUGUAACGCACUCCUCUCAGGACUACCCAAAAAAGACAUAAAUUGUUUGCAACUAGUGCAGAAUGCAGCUGCUAGAAUCCUAACUAGGAAAAGAAAAUCCGAGCACAUUUCUCCAGUUUUGAUGUCACUACACUGGUUACCUGUGUCAUUCAGGAUUGACUUUAAAAUUCUGCUUAUGGUUUAUAAAGCCUUAAAUAAUCUUGCCCCAUUUUAUAUAUCGGAAUGUCUGACAUCUUAUAUUCCAAAUCGUAACCUUAGAUCCUCAAAUGAGUGUCUCCUUAGAAUUCCAAGAGCAAAACUUAAAAGCAGUGGUGAGGCGGCCUUCUGCUGUUAUUCACCUAAAAUCUGGAAUAGCCUGCCAAUAGGAAUUCGCCAGGCUAAUACAGUGGAGUACUUUAAAAUAACUGCUGAAAACACAUUACUUUAACAUGGCCUUCUCAUAACUUCACUAUAAUUUAAUCCAGAUACUCUGUAUAUUCAAUUCAUUAUAAUAACUAUUCAUGGUGGCUCUAAAAUCCGUACUAACCCCUACUCUCUCUUCUGUUUCUUUUUCCGGUUUCUUUGUGGUGGCAGCUUGUGCCACCACCAUCUACUCAAAGUACCAUGAUGUUCCAACAUUGAUGGAUUAAAAGCCAGAAGUCUGCAUGACCAUCAUCAUCAAGUCUUUCCAUGAGAACUUUAAAUACAAAGAGGACUAUUUCAUUUUUGUUAGGUAGAAUGCCCAAAGGGGACUGGGCGGUCUCGUGGCCUGGAACCCCUACAGAUUUUAUUUUUUUUCUCCAGCCUUCUGGAUUUUUUUUUUUUUGUUUUUUCUGUCCACCCUGGCCAUCGGACCUUACUCCUUUUCUAUGUUAACUAAUGUUGCCUUAUUUUAAUUUCUUAUUUUGUCUUUUUUUUUUCUGUUCUUCAUUAUGUAAAGCACUUUGAGCUACUUUUUGUAUGAAAAUGUGCUAUAUAAAUAAAUGUUGUUGUUGUU